ACAAUGUGUGACGAUAAAGUCAAGGAGGCAUCCUAAUCCUGGAUUUCAAGUUAUAUUACAAAGCCACAAUGAUAAAACAGCAUGGCCCUGGUACAAAAGCAGACAUAUAUAUCAAUGGGACAGAAUAGAGGAUGCAGAAACAACCCUAGGUGUACUCAGACAUCUGAUCAUUGAAAAAAGGAGCCAAACACACUCUGGAGAAAAGAUAGCCUAAUUAACAAAUGGUGCUGGGAAAACUGGCUGUCCAUAUGUAGAAGAUUGAAUGUAGACCCAUGUCUCUUGCCAUGCCCUAAAAUAAAAUAAAAAUGGAUCAAAAACCUAGAUAUUAAAAC
rnacentral:lncRNA from 1 species